GAUCCGAAGCCGGGAACCUGGAACCUCUUCCGGAACGAUACAGAGAAGAUUAGCAUGGCCCCUGUGCAAGGAUGACAUGCAAAUUCGUGAAGCAUUCCAUAUUUUU